rnacentral:lncRNA from 1 species
UCGGACCAAAUUCGUACGUAUUCUGCACGAGAGGUACGUAGUCCUUCUUGCCUGAUCAGGAUAUGCUGUCUCGUUCGACGAUUGCAUCAGGAAACUGCCUGCGAGUCGCUGCUGCAGGAUGUUUGCCUCCGCUGAUCUCCUUCCUUGUAGCUGUUUACUGUUUUGCUGUUGUUUUAGUUCUUUCUAUGUUGUUUCGUUCUGAACUAUCUUUCAGUUUGGGGAGUCAGGUUCUGUGAGCCGUGUAAUGUACGUACGUAGAUCUUAGCUCUCCAUCAAUUGUGUGAAGUGAAGAAUAAAAGGCCUUCGUCAGCCACAGCAUGAGAGACGCUAUGUUUUGUUAGGAAUAAUUUGUUCUGUGACUGUGAUAUCCUUGCAUACUCAAGUGUACAAAUAAUUUGUUCUAUGUAGACCGUACCAGUGAGUUUGCUGCAUCUACUAACGGCAGAGAAGGCGGCUGGCGUGGCGCUGGAUAUAGUUGGGGGGAGAUGAGGCAAUGAACUGAAUGUGUGGGAAGAGGAGGAACAUGUGUUGCCAUUUUAUACAAGUUUCAGCAUGCAAAAUAGUAACUGUUUCACACUGCAUUGUGGAAGAGGAAGAUGAGAGGAAGUACUCCAACACGCAUUAGAAUCGUGGUGCAUGCAGGGUGGGAAGAGGAGUAAGUGUUGUGGUGCAUGCAGAUUUAGUGGAGUGGUUUCCCACGGUGAAAGAGGAGUGGAUCAACUUUUGCAUGCAAACAUUGAUGGACUACUAGUGCCAAAUUGAAUACAAAUGUGCCUAGGGGGUGGAAGAUUUUGGGACAAAUAGUUUUUGGGAUUUUGCCUUGCGAACUGGGACGGAGGGAGUACUACUCUCUCCGAUCCUUUUACUUCACAUAUUAGAUUUGUGUCAAGUCAACUUUUGCAAAGUUUGACAAAAAAUAUAUUAAAAAU